GUUCUCCUUUUUCACCCAAGUAAUUGCCUUUCUGUCUAAUGGCCCAAAUGGUCAAAUGGCAUCUACUAGUCUCAUAUGACCGCUGCCUCUCUGGCCUCGCCCUGCUGCUGAGGUCAGCAUGACCUGGAACUGUCCACUGGUCCCUUUCAGUAACCGGAAGCUUUCAUCAUAGACGUGCUGUAUUGCCCAGAAGCCAUCGUGUCGCUGGUCGGGGUCCUGCAGAGGCUGGCUGCCUGCCGGGAGCACCAGCGGGCUCCUGAGGUCUACGUGGCCUUUACCAUCCGCAACCCAGAGACGUGCCAGCUGUUCACCACCGAGCUAGGCCGGGCCGGGAUCAGAUGGGAAGUGGAACCUCGUCAUGAGCAGAAACUGUUUCCCUACGAAGAGCACUUGGAGAUGGCAAUGCUGAACCUCACCCUGUAGGACUCACACACGACUCCAACGGGAUUGUGAGAAUCAAGUCACUCUCGUGGGAAGAAUUUCUAUAUGGGAAAGCAGAUAAAACUUUCAUUGGACUGG
rnacentral:sRNA from 1 species